CCUACGGGAGGCAGCAGUGAGGAAUAUUGGUCAAUGGCCGGAAGGCUGAACCAGCCAAGUCGCGUGAAGGAAGAAGGAUCUAUGGUUUGUAAACUUCUUUUAUAGGGGAAUAAAGGUAUCCACGUGUGGAUAUUUGCAUGUACCCUAUGAAUAAGCAUCGGCUAACUCCGUGCCAGCAGCCGCGGUAAUACGGAGGAUGCGAGCGUUAUCCGGAUUUAGUGGGUUUAAAGGGUGCGUAGGUUGUUUUUUAAGUCAGCGGUGAAAGUUUGUGGCUCAACCAUAAAAUUGCCGUUGAAACUGGAAGACUUGAGUGUGUUUGAGGUAGGCGGAAUGCGUGGUGUAGCGGUGAAAUGCAUAGAUAUCACGCAGAACUCCGAUUGCGAAGGCAGCUUACUAAGCCAUAACUGACACUGAAGCACGAAAGCGUGGGGAUCAAACAGGAUUAGAUACCCCUGUAGUC
rnacentral:rRNA from 1 species